GACGAACGCUGGCGGCGUGCCUAAUACAUGCAAGCAGAACGCUGAAGAGAGGAGCUUGCUCUUCUUGGAUGAGUUGCGAACGGGUGAGUAACGCGUAGGUAACCUGCCUUGUAGCGGGGGAUAACUAUUGGAAACGAUAGCUAAUACCGCAUAACAAUGGAUGACACAUGUCAUUUAUUUGAAAGGGGCAAUUGUUCCACUACAAGAUGGACCUGCGUUGUAUUAGCUAGUAGGUGAGGUAAUGGCUCACCUAGGCGACGAUACAUAGCCGACCUGAGAGGGUGAUCGGCCACACUGGGACUGAGACACGGCCCAGACUCCUACGGGAGGCAGCAGUAGGGAAUCUUCGGCAAUGGGGGCAACCCUGACCGAGCAACGCCGCGUGAGUGAAGAAGGGUGUCGGAUCGUAAAGCUCUGUUGUAAGUCAAGAAAGGGUGUGAGAGUGGAAAGUUCACACUGUGACGGUAGCUUACCAGAAAGGGACGGCUAACUACGUG
rnacentral:rRNA from 1 species